rnacentral:lncRNA from 10 species
AUUUGGCUCAUAGGCCAUAGUUUAGCUGACCCUUUGUUUUAUCUGAUUUGAAAGCUCACGCAAGCUGUUUUGACUUAGCAGGUUGUUUAAUCUAAAGUUCUUUGGAAUAAAAACCUCUCUGCCAAGUAGGACUUGGCUUUAUGCUUAACAUGCUUUGACUGUUGAAAAGAGGCCUUUGGCACACAUUGAAGGGAUGGUGAUGGAGAUGCCAAUCCAUGGAACCAGGUGGCAAAGCUAUGUUGGUAGCUAUACCAGAGGCUUCUUGGCAAAGAUUCCUCCAGGUAAGGAAGGUACCAUCAGAGAACCAUGCAUGAAGACAGGGAAGAAAUGAUUGGAAUCAUGAAGCAUUAAACUGGAAGGAAGCCUUAGGCAAACCUAACUCAUGAGAAAACGGACACCCAAAUGUUACCAAAAAAGGAUGCAACAAGUUCCACAGUCCUCAUUCAGGCAUAUACAGUGCUUAAGAAGAUCAGAGUGCAGUUUUCCUUGGGCAGAAAUCUGAAAAAUCUCAAAAGUAUAAUUAAUAAUGAUGCACGUUCAUACACUCACCAAUCAGAAUUGAGGAUUGAUAAGAUUUUGCUUUACCCCAAUUUAAAUAAAAGAAGCAAAGGAUUACGGCGAAUGAUAAAGUCCUCCACUGGCAGUAUUGUUCUUGCUACAAACCCAGAGGCCACAGACAAAACCACAGUUCAUUUGGUGGCUGAAGCUUACUGAAAGCUUCCUUUCCUCUUGAUGCAGCCAGCUUUUUGGAUUACAUGGCAAGGGUGGCCUGAGCAAGGCAACGGGAAAGAGCUGUUGGUGGAACAGUGAGUGCUUGUGACUGUGGGACUAGAGUCUUGCCUCCAGAAUUUAGCAUGCUGCUGCCCAGGAAAUUAAGCCUUCAAGUCUAAAGACUUUCAAUGAGUAUGAUUGAGAAGGGAGUAUUGGGUGAUUCCAAGCAUAAUUGAGAAACAAAUUAAUUUGGGUACUUUAGACGCCUACUGAUGGCUGAGAAAGAGAGUAAGAACAUUUGUAGCCUUAAAGGGUAAAAGUCAAAGAAAUGCCAGUGGCCUUUGCUAUACACCAUACAGGUGGAGCAGAGUGGCAGCUUGAGUUGCCAAGGGAGUCAUUCAUUCAUUCAUUCAUUCAUUCAUUCAUUCAUCUACCCAUCCAUUCAUUCAUUCACUUAUAUACCAGGCACAUCUCAUGGGCUAGCAUUUACUGAAUAAUUAACAUGUAUCAGACAGUAUUCCAAGCACUUUUCUUGCAUGAACUCAUUUAAUCCUCCAAAUGACCCAAUUAAUCUGAAGGAUGGGAGUCAGCAACACAACGACUUAUAAUUGCUCAAGCUUAUAUAGCUAUUAAAUAGUGAAGUCAGAAAUUGAACUUGGAAGUCUCACUUCAGAAUAUUUUGACUUUACCACUAAAUUGGCAAAUAAGAUUGAAGUCUUGGUCUCGUGGACUUUACAUUGUAGUAGGAGAGACAACCGAUAAACAUGCAAGUGAACGUUAAAUAAAAAAAAUAUGAUCUCAG